rnacentral:snoRNA from 1 species
UAUAUUUAAAUAUGUGAACAAAUACUUACAGACAGGUCCAAAAAAUAAAUCAUCUUUUGCAACCCAAAAGUCAUUGUUCAAUAUAAGUUUUGAUACAUAUAAGAAGGAAUACG